rnacentral:rRNA from 1 species
CCUACGGGGGGCAGCAGUGAGGAAUAUUGGUCAAUGGACGAGAGUCUGAACCAGCGACGUAGCGUGAAGGAUGAAUGCUCUAUGGGUUGUAAACUUCUUUUAUAUGGGAAUAAAAUGUUCCACGUGUGGGAUUUUGUAUGGACCAUAUGAAUAAGGCUCGGCUAAAUCGGUGCCAGCAGCCGCAGUAAUACGGAGGAUCCGAGCGUUAUCCGGAUUUAUAGGGUUUAAAGGGAGCGUACGUGGAUUGUUAAGUCAGUUGUGAAUGUUUGCGGCUCAACCGUAAAAUUGCAGUUGAAACUGGCAGGCUUGAGUACAGGAGAGGUGGGCGGAAUUCGUGGUGUAGCGGUGAAAUGCUUAGAUAUCACGAAGAACUCCGAUUGCGAAGGCAGCUCACUGGACUGCAACUGACACUGAGGCUCGAAAGUGUGGGUAUCAAACAGGAUUAGAUACCCCGGUAGUC